AUGAAAAUGAAUAUAAAAACACACAUGUUGUAUGCCUUAUUUGUGAUAGUGGUAUUGUUUUUUGUUAAGUAUGAAGUAAGAGGAGCAGGAAAUGAAGGGAUGAGAUAUACAGAUAUGCGAGGUCUUGAUGAUUUAAGUACCUUUAGUGAUGCACAAGUUAUGGAUGUUUUAGGAUUAAACAUUGAAGGAACAAAAGAAAGGUUGUCAAAAUUAUUUCAUUUAAUAGAUAAAGAUAAAGAUAAUAUAAUAAAUGAUGAAGAGUUAAUUAACUGGGGAAAUUAUGUAAAAAAUGAAGUAUUUUUAAAACAAGUACAAAUUGAAAUGAAACAAAUCGAUUUGGAUAAAGAUGGAUAUAUAUCAUUACAAGAGUUGACUGAUGCAUUUGCACAAAAUUUGGAUGCAAAAGAAGUUGAAAAACAUUCAGAAGGUUUAUUUAAAAGAUUUCAAAUAGUAGAUAAAGAUAAAGAUAAUAAAUUAGAUCUUAACGAAGUAGGUUUAUUAAUUGAUCCUAUGAAAGAUCAAGAAUUAAAAGAAUUAGAAAUAAAUGAAAUAUUGCAACACCAUGAUUUAAAUAAAGAUGGAAAAAUAUCUAUUGAAGAAUUUAAACAAACACGAGCAGAUGAUCAAAGUGUUAAAAAAGAUGAUGAAGUUGCAUUAGAUGAUUUUAAUUUUUUUGAUACAAAUAAAGAUGGUUUUAUAGAUAAAGAAGAAAUUGUACAAGUAUAUUUUGAUCCUGCACACGAAUCAGGUGCUGUAAAUAUAAAUGAAAUAAAAGAUAAUAUAUUUGAAAAUCAACCAAUUACAUAUGAGAAAUGGUUAGAAAAGGCAUUAAGAAUAGCAGUAACUUCUAUAACAGAUUAUGGUGAUAUUCUUAGAUACCCUGAAGAUUUUAAACUCGAUAUAGGUAAAAAUGUUGUAUUACCUUCUGCUAGAUCUAAAGUAAGUGAAGAUGACGAAUUAGAUCAAGAAGAAGUAGAAAAUGUACAAAAAGAGGAAGAAACUUCUUCUGAUGCAGAAGGAAAAACUGAAACUUCUGAAGAGUUAUAA
rnacentral:lncRNA from 1 species